GUGUGACCUAAUAGGUUCAAUUCUGUCUGGUAGUGAGAUAUGAUGAGAUCUCCAUCUACAUCAUCAUCGAAACUCUUUUCGAUGGCUCAAACUCUUUUGAUUCCACCCUAAUAGAAUAAUUAAUUAUUAAUAAUUAUUUCUAUUGGUUCCCACAAUCCACCAGUGACGCCUAGCAGCAUGUAGUGGCAAUCCAGUCAGAAGUGAAUAUCGGACUGAACCUCUAGGUGCAGUUACCGUACAAUACAAUCCUUCUAUCGCAUAGUUCCAACUGAGUGGAGGUCAUGGAAUAUUCGUCAAACCCCAUCACCCGUCAUAUGACAAAUUUGAUCAGACA
rnacentral:lncRNA from 1 species